UGUCCUUCAAUGGUAGGACCGAGCCAUCUUGGAGUACUGGUGUCCGCUGUCUCUAGGAUGGUCUUGAUGCCCAUCAUGGAUGUUUGUUUUGUCUUCACGUGAAAGAGUUCGGUAUUUAUUGUAUUUUUCCCAGUCUGGCCUUGUUUCUGUGUGUCCUCGGGUAUUCCAGGGGUAUGUGUGCCCCAAGCUCAAUAAUGGUGUGAUUCUCACAGACUUGUAGAGGUACUGCCCUGGUGGUCCUGGACGAAAUCCGAAGAAUUCUCCGGAUUAUCAGGCAGAGAUUCUUGUUCUUUUCCCUUAGUUUUCUCCAAACCAAACGGAGUCUCUCUCUGUGCUGCAAGGCCUGGAAUUGGGGGUGAGGAGACAGAAGCAACCCUGUGGCUAUCACCAACCGGUACUGUGCGGGUUCACACUCCAACCCAGCACAGCACUGGUCUCACUCAAGGUCCUGCUAUAUCCACUACCCGGAACAUGGGUGAAGCUGGAAGCAGUGGUUGUCAGCAAACUGACAGAGGACCAGAAGACCAAACUCCACAUGUUCUCACUCCUAAGUGGAAAUGAGAACACAUGGUCACAGGGGAGGGGAACAUCACACACUGGAGCCUGAAGGGGGUUGGGGGCCGAGGGGAGAGAGGACAACUGCGUCAUACAUAAUGCCCGCCGGGCUUAAAAUCUAGACGGCCUGGUUGAGAGGUGCCGCCAACCACCGUGGCACAUGUAUACCUAUGUAUUCCAGAAGAAAGAAGAAAGAAAAAAGGAAAAAGGAAGAGAAAGAAGUUUAAAGUUGAGGGUGGGCAAAAGUAGCGGACCCCACAGCAGUGGGCUGCCAAGCUAGGAUGUGAGAACCUUCCAGAAACAAUUGUACAGGCUUCCUACCCAGAAACAGAAAACGAGUAUAGCAUUUCCAAAGCCCUGGUGCUGUACAGCAGAAGCGUUUCUCAGGAGCCGGCCACGAACCCACCAAGAAACCGGCGAACGCUUAUGCAGAAACAUCAGAAGGCCAUUGGAAUAACCAAACAAGCCCACGCCGCAAAAUUCGUCUAACUUUGCAAACAGAUUGUGUCCCCCCGAAGGGGUGCACCGUUCCUGGAAGUACCUGCAAUACCAGGUCGAUGCGUGGAGUGGACGGAGCAAGCUCCUAUUCCAUCUCCCUGCUCCAAAAAUCCAUUUAAUAUAUUGUCCUCGGAUAGAGGACGUAUCAGAUAUUAAAACUGAUAAGAACAGAUACUACACUUGAUCUUAGCCAAAAGGCCGAGAAGCGAUAACCACUACCGCCACGCAGGCCACGACUCACAUUCGUCCAC
rnacentral:lncRNA from 1 species